AGUUUCAGAAUUUUUCUGCAAUCCAACAGUCCACUCCUAAUUCUGAGACCUGGCUUCCCCCUCCUGCUCAUGUCAUAAAGCUAACUUUGAUGCAACAAUUGAUGUAAAGCGAAAUAAGGGUGCUAUUGCAGUGGUAGUUCAUGACUUUAAUGGGAAGCCUUUUGAUUGGGUUUGUAAAUUUUAUGAUUUUAUGAUAGACCCUUUGGUUUUGGAGAGUUUAGCUUGCAGAGAUGCCACCCAGUUUGCUGUCAAUAGAGGUUU
rnacentral:misc_RNA from 1 species